CAGUAGCCGCGGUAAUACGUAGGUGGCAAGCGUUGUCCGGAAUUAUUGGGCGUAAAGGGCUCGCAGGCGGUCUCUUAAGUCUGAUGUGAAAGCCCCCGGCUCAACCGGGGAGGGUCAUUGGAAACUGGGGAACUUGAGUGCAGAAGAGGAGAGUGGAAUUCCACGUGUAGCGGUGAAAUGCGUAGAGAUGUGGAGGAACACCAGUGGCGAAGGCGACUCUCUGGUCUAUAACUGACGCUGAGGAGCGAAAGCGCGGGGAGCGAACAGGAUUAGAUACCCCCGUAGUCCCUGUCUCUUAUAA
rnacentral:rRNA from 1 species